GAGUCUCUUCUUAUUGAACUGUCGUGCACAAAAUACAUCUCUUUAGAAAAUCAAUGAAAAGCCGCAGGUCAUCGCAGACUACGAGAGUGGACGGGCCAUUCCUAAUAACCAGGUUCUGGGCAAAAUUGAGAGAGCUAUUGGCCUCAAGCUCCGGGGCAAGGAUAUCGGGAAGCCGAUUGAGAAGGGGCCAAGGGCGAAAUGAACACAAAGCCUCGAAAUCAGUGCGUUCCGGCUGAUCUCGUCUGGCUGGUUCUCCUUGACCACCAGCGCCAGCGUGGGUCUCUUCACGUGGCCGAGCGGAACGCAGGGCGUGAGCCCUGCCCAGGAAUCCCCUCUACCCAUACCUGCUGUCAAACAAACAAAACCUUGCAAAGUAUUGCUUCUCCUGAUUUUUUCUCCUUCCUAUCCCCGGUGUCUGCCCGGUCUUGGGGUGGCUCCCUGGGGAGCUGUGAGUGGGACCGCCUCACGCUGGCAGGGCUGUGGGGUGGGGCGGCCUGAUCGGAAGAGAAGAUGCCGUCUCCAGUCCGGCUUUUAGAGAAGCCAAUAAACGAUUGUUGCCCUUCC